rnacentral:sRNA from 1 species
GCUGCAGCUCAGCUGGUUAGUGCGUCGCUUGUUAGCUGAGAGGUCGCCGGUUCGAAUCCGGUCCAACG